AACGCACCUUGCGCCCUUUGGUAUUCCGAAGGGCAUGCCUGUUUGAGUGUCAUUAAAUUAUCAACCUUGUUCGCUUUUACGAGCUUGAGCAAGGCUUGGAUGUGAGGGCUUGCUGGCUUCCUUCAGUGGAUGGUCUGCUCCCUUUAAAUGCAUUAGUGGGAUCUCUUGUGGACCGUCACUUGGUGUGAUAAUUAUCUAUGCCAGUUGACUUUGAAGCAAACUUUAUGGGAACCCGCUCAUAACCGUCUCGCAAGAGACAAUUUUUUAUUGACUUGACCUCAAAUCAGGUAGGACUACCCGCUGAACUUAA
rnacentral:misc_RNA from 1 species